CGGGUGAGUAAUGCGUGACCAACCUGCCCCCAUGCUCCAGAAUAGCUCUUGGAAACGGGUGGUAAUGCUGGAUGCUCCAACUUGACGCAUGUCUUGUUGGGAAAGUGUUUAGUGGCAUGGGAUGGGGUCGCGUCCUAUCAGCUUGUAGGCGGGGUAAUGGCCCACCUAGGCUUCGACGGGUAGCCGGCCUGAGAGGGCGGACGGCCACAUUGGGACUGAGAUACGGCCCAGACUCCUACGGGAGGCAGCAGUG
rnacentral:rRNA from 1 species